AAAAAAUUCCCGCUAAAUUGAGUGUGUUAGAUUACAAUCCAUGCAACAAAUUAAUAAAAGUGGAUUACAAAAAAUCUAAUUAAGUCAAAUCAAAGACUUCAAGCUAUGGCAAAGGAGGAGGAAGAUAACGAUGACGAUUUUGGGAUUUAUCUAAAUUGAAUUAAUGAGUCACCAAGUUUUUUGUAAUCACGGAAUCCACUUAGGAUUGAAUUUAAGGUAAAACAAUUAAUCUUAAGGCUGGUUAAUUCUCUCAUAUUCAAUCCUAAGCGGAUUUCCGUGAUAAAUAACUUGGUGACUUAAUAAUUUAAUUUAGAUUUUGAAAGAAGUGCGUUGAUCUAUAAUUGAUAAACUUCUAUGAGCAACAUCUGUCGUAUUAUUAUUCCUCUUAAUGGCUUGGCUGUAAUAUUAAUGUAGGGAAAAUAGAACUAGCUCGAUUACUUUUUUGCCCUUUGUUUUUAUGUAGUUGUUAGCCUAUUAUAAAAAAUCUUGUCACAGGGCAGCUAAUUUUGUCAAAGACGAUGAUUUUAUGUUAAAUGUCGAUGUAUUAUAUACAA